rnacentral:misc_RNA from 1 species
GAUGAAGAACGUAGCGAAAUGCGAUAAGUAAUGUGAAUUGCAGAAUUCAGUGAAUCAUCGAAUCUUUGAACGCACAUUGCGCCCCCUGGUAUUCCGGGGGGUAUGCCUGUUCGAGCGUCAUUUCACCACUCAAGCCUCGCUUGGUAUUGGGCAACGCGGUCCGCCGCGUGCCUCAAAUCGACCGGCUGGGUCUUCUGUCCCCUAAGCGUUGUGGAAACUAUUCGCUAAAGGGUGUUCGGGAGGCUACGCCGUAAAACAACCCCAUUUCUAAGGUUGACCUCGGAUCAGGUAGGGAUACCCGCUGAACUUAAGCAUAUCAAUAAGCGGAGGA